rnacentral:snRNA from 1 species
AUUGCUUCUUGGCCUUUUGGCUAAGAUCAAGUGUAGUACACUGCGGAGUGUAAGUGUGUUAUGAUUUAUUUAACAUUUCCUUGAUAACAGGUAGUUUUCAUUUUUUAAACAAUAUCAGUGUUUUAAAUAAGGCCAUGAUUUCUCUUUAUAGACAUUUUCAU